rnacentral:pre_miRNA from 1 species
CUUACAGAGUUCAUUGGCAUUCUGUCUACCUCCCAUCCCCUCUUUCAAGAAAGAAGCAAGAUUAACAUGGAGGUAGGCAUACUGCCAACAGAGUUGUGUUGG